AACGAACGCUAGCGGGAUGCCUCAAACAUGCAAGUCGUACGAGAAAGUCCCUUCGGGGGCGAGUAAAGUGGCGCACGGGUGCGUAACACGUAGCUAACCUACCCUUUUGCUGGGGACAACUCCGGGAAACCGGAGCUAAUACCGAAUAAUCUACCACGGUCUGCGGACUGUGUUGGUAAAGCCUUCGGGCGCGAAAGGAUGGGGCUGCGGCCCAUUAGUUUGUUGGUGGGGUAAUGGCCUACCAAGACUACGAUGGGUAGCUGGUCUGAGAGGAUGAUCAGCCACACUGGAACUGGAACACGGUCCAGACUCCCACGGGAGGCAGCAGUUGGGAAUCUUAGACAAUGGGGGAAACCCUGAUCUAGCAAUCCCGCGUGAAUGAUGAAGGCCCUAGGGUCGUAAAGUUCUUUCAGUAGGGAAGAAGCUCUGACGGUACCUACAGAAGAAGCACCGGCUAACUCCG
rnacentral:rRNA from 1 species